rnacentral:rRNA from 2 species
AAACUUUAUACAACUUUCAGCAACGGAUCUCUUGGCUCUCGCAUCGA